GAGGAAUAUUGGUCAAUGGCCGCAGGGCUGAACCAGCCAAGUCGCGUGAGGGAUGACGGUCCUACGGAUUGUAAACCUCUUUUGCCGGGGAGCAACGGGGUCCUUGCGAGGGCCCUAUGAGAGUACCCGGAGAAAGAGCAUCGGCUAACUCC
rnacentral:rRNA from 1 species